AAGAUUUUAAGUUAUUUAUAAACUAAAAGCCUUCAAAGCUUAAAAAAAAAGUUAACCUUUUAGAUCUUA
rnacentral:tRNA from 1 species